UGCAGUCGAGCGAACGGACGAGAAGCUUGCUUCUCUGAUGUUAGCGGCGGACGGGUGAGUAACACGUGGAUAACCUACCUAUAAGACUGGGAUAACUUCGGGAAACCGGAGCUAAUACCGGAUAAUAUUUUGAACCGCAUGGUUCAAAAGUGAAAGACGGUCUUGCUGUCACUUAUAGAUGGAUCCGCGCUGCAUUAGCUAGUUGGUAAGGUAACGGCUUACCAAGGCAACGAUGCAUAGCCGACCUGAGAGGGUGAUCGGCCACACUGGAACUGAGACACGGUCCAGACUCCUACGGGAGGCAGCAGUAGGGAAUCUUCCGCAAUGGGCGAAAGCCUGACGGAGCAACGCCGCGUGAGUGAUGAAGGUCUUCGGAUCGUAAAACUCUGUUAUUAGGGAAGAACAUAUGUGUAAGUAACUGUGCACAUCUUGACGGUACCUAAUCAGAAAGCCACGGCUAACUACGUGCCAGCAGCCGCGGUAAUACGUAGGUGGCAAGCGUUAUCCGGAAUUAUUGGGCGUAAAGCGCGCGUAGGCGGUUUUUUAAGUCUGAUGUGAAAGCCCACGGCUCAACCGUGGAGGGUCAUUGGAAACUGGAAAACUUGAGUGCAGAAGAGGAAAGUGGAAUUCCAUGUGUAGCGGUGAAAUGCGCAGAGAUAUGGAGGAACACCAGUGGCGAAGGCGACUUUCUGGUCUGUAACUGACGCUGAUGUGCGAAAGCGUGGGGAUCAAACAGGAUUAGAUACCCUGGUAGUCCACGCCGUAAACGAUGAGUGCUAAGUGUUAGGGGGUUUCCGCCCCUUAGUGCUGCAGCUAACGCAUUAAGCACUCCGCCUGGGGAGUACGACCGCAAGGUUGAAACUCNAAGGAAUUGACGGGGACCCGCACAAGCGGUGGAGCAUGUGGUUUAAUUCGAAGCAACGCGAAGAACCUUACCAAAUCUUGACAUCCUUUGACAACUCUAGAGAUAGAGCCUUCCCCUUCGGGGGACAAAGUGACAGGUGGUGCAUGGUUGUCGUCAGCUCGUGUCGUGAGAUGUUGGGUUAAGUCCCGCAACGAGCGCAACCCUUAAGCUUAGUUGCCAUCAUUAAGUUGGGCACUCUAAGUUGACUGCCGGUGACAAACCGGAGGAAGGUGGGGAUGACGUCAAAUCAUCAUGCCCCUUAUGAUUUGGGCUACACACGUGCUACAAUGGACAAUACAAAGGGCAGCGAAACCGCGAGGUCAAGCAAAUCCCAUAAAGUUGUUCUCAGUUCGGAUUGUAGUCUGCAACUCGACUACAUGAAGCUGGAAUCGCUAGUAAUCGUAGAUCAGC
rnacentral:rRNA from 1 species